UAUUUUUUAUUUUUCUCUUUUCUUCAUUUGCUCUUCUCUCUGCCGAAACGAAACGACGAAAGCAAAUAUCGAUUUAUCAAAAUCGACAUCUUCUUCUUCUCCGGUUCCGCUUACUUCUUCUAGGUAAGAAAUUUUUGGUGACACAAUCGUCGCGCCGCAGCUUUGUCUCCAACCAGAGUUCGGGUUAGAUCCCAUAAAUGAAGAAGAUUCGGAACCAAAAAGGUAACCUCAUCAAACUGUUUCUUCUAGUUAUAGGUGUCUUUGAUUCUAUUGUAUUUGUAAUUUAUAAUUCGAAACGCAAUUUCGGAUACUCAAAGAGCACGACCUGUGAAGAGAGCUAAAUGAAGUCAAGAAGCAGGUGUUGGUGGUUGGUUCCUCUUCUCUUUGCUGUGAAAUCUUUUAACCAGAAAUGGUGGAUCAGAUGUCAAAACUUGAGCCUUAUUGACUUUGUAGGUUCAACAAACCUACAGAUAUUCCAGGAACCAUCACGAAGACUGCACCUGAUCUCCAUUACGCAUGCAGCUUCAACAGGCUAGCUUAAAGCCACAUGUUCUCUAAGUGGAGUUACGAAAUUGUGGGAGAUGCCUCAAGUUACAAAAAAGAUUGCUGUCUUGAAGGACCACAAAGAACGUGCAACUGAGGCAAAACAGGAGAAAGAUUUGCGUUUAGAAACUAAAGUAAUGAUUCUGUAUUUGUCGGAGGCAAAACAGGAGAAAGUUUUGCGGUUAGAAACUAAAAUCGAUGACAACAACAAGAAAGUUGAUGAUGAGGCACUGAAGAGAGCACCAAUAUUGCCUCAUUGUGACAUCGACAAAGAAGCUCCAGAUUCUUGUUUGUUCCCUAGAUCCUUGAUCAUACUGCCAAGGCGGCUCUUAAGCACACUUAUAUCACAUUGUUCUGAGUUUGUCAGCGGCUCAGGCUCAGCGGCACCAGUGUUAACAAUAAUUGCUGUGGAGGAACAAUGAUCAAUGUCUGAAAUUAUACAAUGGUUUGAAUUGUUGAAACUGGUUUUGGUUUGUGAUUGUUGUGCAAUGAGAGGAUGUUUGAGAGUUAGAUGGAAAAUGGUUUUGGUUUGUUUGAUUGUUGCUUGUAAAACAAGUUCUCUGAUUUUUAAAAAUUUUGGCU